AGGCUUAACACAUGCAAGUCGAGCGCCCCGCAAGGGGAGCGGCAGACGGGUGAGUAACGCGUGGGAAUCUACCCAUCUCUACGGAACAACUCCGGGAAACUGGAGCUAAUACCGUAUACGUCCUUCGGGAGAAAGAUUUAUCGGAGAUGGAUGAGCCCGCGUUGGAUUAGCUAGUUGGUGGGGUAAUGGCCUACCAAGGCGACGAUCCAUAGCUGGUCUGAGAGGAUGAUCAGCCACACUGGGACUGAGACACGGCCCAG
rnacentral:rRNA from 1 species